rnacentral:misc_RNA from 1 species
GAACUGCGAUAAGUAAUGUGAAUUGCAGAAUUCAGUCAAUCAUCGAGUCUUUGAACGCACAUUGCGCCCCCUGGCAUUCCGGGGGGCAUACCUGUCCGAGCGUCAUUGCUGCCCUUCAAGCCCGGCUUGUGUGUUGGGUCGUCGUCCCCUCCGGGGGACGGGCCCGAAAGGCAGCGGCGGCACCGCGUCCGGUCCUCGAGCGUAUGGGGCUUUGUCACCCGCUCGAUAAGGACCGGCCGGGCGCCAGCCGGUGUCUCCAACCUUUUUUUCUCAGGUUGACCUCGGAUCAGGUAGGGAUACCCGCUGAACUUAAGC